AGGUACGAUUAUAUCAGCACUAAUGCACCGGAUCCCAUCAGAACUUCGAAGUUAAGCAUGCUUGGGAGAGAGUAAUACUGGGAUGGGUGACCUCCUGGGAAGUCCUCAUGUUGCACCUC
rnacentral:rRNA from 1 species